ACCCGUGUGCCCUAGCUCCCAAAACCCGCCGAUUUCCUCCUCCCCGAGCCCUCUCUCUCGCGUGAUUUCCUCACCAAAUCACCUUCUGAUCUCAGCGUGAGAUUGCGCCGCCGAGCCCUCCUUUCCCUCACACGGGUACCAGCCGACGAUCUCUCCUGUGGAUGAGCUUCCUCAGACGCCGACGCCCUCUCCUCACGCUAGCACCCGAGACGAGCCCCAGUCGUCGGUCUCCUCCCUUCCUUGCACGCGAGAAGCACAGGCGAUGACCUCUUCUCAUUGCCCUAGCGUCAGUCGCCCGAUCUACUGUCACCUCUGGCCACGACGAGAUCUUACUAGCAAGUACACCUUUGGGACGUUGAUUGAAGACGGUUGACACGAUCUGCAUAUAAAG